UCAAACUUGGUCAUUUAGAGGAAGUAAAAGUCGUAACAAGGUUUCCGUAGGUGAACCUGCGGAAGGAUCAUUACCGAGUGAGGGAUGGCCCAGGAACCCCCUGGGUGCGCCCCGAACCUCCCAACCCUUUGUCUACUUAACCACAACGUUGCUUCGGCAGGCCCGCCGACCCCCAGGCGCCUUCACGGCACCUAGGGCGACGCCGCCGGGGGUCCCACGACCCCGGGCCCGCGCCUGUCGAUGGCCCCCUCUUCAAACUCUUGUCAAAACCUGUCGUCUGAGUUUACAAACAAAAUUAAAAACCAAAACUUUCAACAACGGAUCUCUUGGUUCUGGCAUCGAUGAAGAACGCAGC
rnacentral:misc_RNA from 1 species